rnacentral:lncRNA from 1 species
GUGACGUGGCUCGGUGUGUACGAAGGCAGAGGCUGGGUCCUGGUUGCUGCGGCGCUGGGAUCUACUAGGGUUCCCUGCUUCUGAUUUUCUUGUUUUGGGCUGUAUGAUAGUUGGGCUAGGUGUAAUUGGGUCUGUAAUUUGGGUUUGUAAUUUUUGCUAUUGGGUUGGGUUAAUCUGUAUUGGGCCUAGAGUCUAUAAAUGGACAUUUAAAAUGGACUAUUUUUUAUUUGUUUUUUAUUAUAUUUUUGUUUAUUUAUUUCUGAUUUGGGCCGGGCAAUAUUGGGUCAUUACAGUGUAAAAUGCAAAAGUUGCAUUCUACUUGUUAAAUGUAUUAAAUAGCUACGAAAUAUUAAAUUAGAGGUCCUUAUGUUGUAAUUAGACCAUAAUUAAAUUGAGUGGACAUUAAUGAGCAUAAUAUCAUGAAAUUUGAUGGUUUUUCAUUAAGGUUAAUUUAGUAAAAUGAUAAAUAACAUAAGUUAAAU